rnacentral:tmRNA from 1 species
CAGAUUCGCCAGGACAUAAUUACUGUCCUCAGCACAAUCCUAAACCUGGAGAUGCCCCCGUCUCAUCCCGUCUAUUUCUUCAAGUCAGAGUGUAACUCUGAUAUAUAUAUGGAACCACGACCAUUUUGUACCUGCAGCAAAAAGAUUGGACUCCGAAUAAUUACACCAUUACCAAUGAGACAUGCUAUAGUUGGAGCAACACCACUAAUAACUCUAGCAAGAGUGAUAAACAGAACUAUCAGACUGAACAAAAGAGUGUGUGAACUAUUCCCCUCAAUCUCUUCAACAGAGUUUUUAUUUGACACGGGUAUCUACAGCCAGGGUCGCUGCAUUCGCCUGCCACACACCUACAAAUUUACAUCUACAGGAUUGCCUGAGAGACUGCUAAAAUUGUUUGUCUGUCACCCAUUUCCAGAUAAGACCUCCUAUGUCAAGAACAGCUUCGUGCUGACAAACCUUUUGUAUCACAGUACCAGUGAGGAUCUAAGAUCUGGAGAUUAUAAUCUAAUAUUGGACAUUCGUGAUAAAGAUGAGGAUUUUUUAUCCUGCAAGACUGUGGCCAGCUUACCAAAAAAUUCUCUAGAUAUUGACAAACUGGAAGAUAUUUUGGGGUGCCCGGUCCAGUCCUGGAUAGACACCACCUUGUGGCCAUUGUUUUGUGAGCAGUUAGUCAAAUAUCUGCCACAGAAAAAUGCAAAUGAACUAAACAACAUUUCAUUUAACGUUGUGUCUAACAACAUGCUACAACUGAAACCUCGCAGAGGUCCAGGCUUCUCCUGUCUGACUCAUCAACACAGAACAAAAUCACAUAAUGUGAGGCUUUUCAUAACCCUGGGAAAGUUCUCACGUGACGUCAUAACUGCAACACUUAUGAGUCAAUGCUUUGCCAAUAAGUGCAACAACAAUAAGCCUGUGACACAUUGCACCGUGCAUGCUCGAGUGUAGAGGACUCUCCGAUCCUGGGCACCAUACAGUACCCACAGCUCGCAGAAUGGCACAGCAGAUGUUGGAGGCGGGCGCGCUGGACCAAAUGAUGGAAGGUAUGUCUUUACAAAAUAAGGAAUCCUACUUAACACUUUUGUAAAAUUUGGAGUUUAAAUUUGGUCUUAAAAUCUCUUGUUUCCCCCCAGGACUACCAUCUGAUUUUGACUUUGAUACAUCUGAUGAAGAAGGUGAGCUCUCAGAUUCUCCACCAGUUGAGGAGCCAACGGGGCCAGUCCGGGAUGUGGUGUACGAACCUGACCCACUCUUCGACGACCCACCACCAACACCCUCGCCAGACGUCAAGCCACCUUCUCCAAAGGCUAGAAAGCGCGCCCUGUCUCCUGAAAUUGUCCACAACUCUCCUCUGCUUAGAGAUACAACAAAGUAUGAGCCUGCACCCAAAAGAAGCUAUUCUUACCACCCCAGACGCAGUCCACAGAGAGAAAAUGCUAACCAGAAGCAGAAAAGGGGACCAGACUCACGAAGACCAAACAGAUGGAACCAGAAAAGCCAGAAACAAUAUUGGUCCCCCAAACCUCUUCUGGAUUACAGCAAAAUUCCAAGAGCAGAGUACAAAAAUGCCAAACUGUUGGUGCCUACAACUGGUAAACUGCGCCCAGAGUUCUAUACUGAUCGGUUUGUGGAUGCUAUAAUUCAGAACGCUGCCAGAAAUUGUCCAGUGUCUGAAAAGGCGGUAUCACUAAAAAAUAUUGAAGAGUCUUUCAAACUGCUUAACUCUUUCUUUAACAGUGGAAUAAAUAAGGAUCAUUGGCUAUCUACAAGGUAUUUUGCAAUCUUCAACAACGGCCUGGUGGUGCUGACCCACAUGCUAGACGAACAGUUGGCCUGGGCAUAUGCUUGCCUGAAACACGGUAGGGAGUUGCCCACUGACGACAUACUCAUGUCUACUUCAGAAAAAUUGUCCCAACAGCUUGUGAUAAAACUCAUAGAGGUGAUAAAAUGUAUAGAAAAGGAUGGAAUAUUCAGCAGGAUCCUCAAAGGUGUGGCAGAUGCGGUAUGCCUUAAGGCCCAGUUCUUACGUGGUAUGAUCACCCUGAAGAGAACCCCUUGCAGCCUUCCCAUGUAUACCCUGUUUGUUUAUGUACUGACUAUUCCCACUCUGAGAACACGUGUAAUCAGGGACCCUCUGCUGACACAGUGUAAGGAUGUGGUCCUAAAGUAUCAGCCAGGCGACUGUAUAACCCUAUUGAAAGCUGCACUAAAUUGUCAUCAGUGUAACAAAGACUGUGAUAAAUGUAAAUAUAUUUUGGAUCCCCUGUUGGGACAAACACACCGCACCAAGGGGGUAUUUUUUGUGUGUGAAUAAUCAAUAAUAAACACAAUUGAACUGCA